UCGAGCGGACAGAUGGGAGCUUGCUCCCUGAUGUUAGCGGCGGACGGGUGAGUAACACGUGGGUAACCUGCCUGUAAGACUGGGAUAACUCCGGGAAACCGGGGCUAAUACCGGAUGGUUGUCUGAACCGCAUGGUUCAGANAUAAAAGGUGGCUUCGGCUACCACUUACAGAUGGACCCGCGGCGCAUUAGCUAGUUGGUGAGGUAACGGCUCACCAAGGCGACGAUGCGUAGCCGACCUGAGAGGGUGAUCGGCCAAACUGGGACUGAGACACGGCCCAGACUAAUACGGGAGGCAGCAGUAGGGAAUCUUCCGCAAUGGACGAAAGUCUGACGGAGCAACGCCGCGUGAGUGAUGAAGGUUUUCGGAUCGUAAAGCUCUGUUGUUAGGGAAGAACAAGUGCCGUUCAAAUAGGGCGGCACCUUGACGGUACCUAACCAGAAAGCCACGGCUAACUACGUGCCAGCAGCCGCGGUAAUACGUAGGUGGCAAGCGUUGUCCGGAAUUAUUGGGCGUAAAGGGCUCGCAGGCGGUUUCUUAAGUCUGAUGUGAAAGCCCCCGGCUCAACCGGGGAGGGUCAUUGGAAACUGGGG
rnacentral:rRNA from 1 species